UAGUGUUGCGAUGAGGACAAGCAAGCUUCCUCUUCUGAAGGUAUUGAGGACAGUUGCUGGCAGAAUCGAACCAAUUAACCUUAUUGCCACCAUUGAGCAA